rnacentral:misc_RNA from 1 species
UGGAAACUUGAUAAGCCUGGAAGCAUUGGAUUUGGCCAAUAACAACUUGUCAGGAACAAUUCCCAAGUCCCUAGAGGGACUCAAGUACCUCAAAUAUCUAAACCUGUCUUUCAACAAAUUGGAAGGAGAAGUUCCCACAGCAGGAACUUUUGUAAACUUCUCAGCUAUGUCUUUUUUGGGAAAUGAUGCCCUUUGUGGUUCUCCCUUCUUGCAAUUGACGCCAUGCAAAAUCAGUAAUCAGGGAAGAUCGAAGUCUGCCACCAAGCAAGUACUCGUAUAUCUUCUUCCUGCUAUCAUAUUGACAAUAGUCGUCAUACUUGUCUCAUUAAGAUGGAGAAAGACAAAAGUUAAGUUGGUAACUGUGGCUGAUCCAUAUCUUGAGAUUGUG